UGGGUCGGCUCGGGUAGGUUCGGUUGGCCCGCAGGCUGCGGCUUCGGCCACGGGGUUUCCUCCAAUUAGAUCCAGGGUGAAUGGACGUCACUGUUGCCAUGGCGAUGCUUUUCCAACUCCCCUCAUCCUCCCCGCCAGCCCGGCACUCCUGGGUGCGGCACGGGACCGGAGGUGCUUUCGACCUCCGAGGCUGCGACCGCGUGUCCUGUAGCAGCAACCACUGCAGAUGGGGCGUUGCAGCUCUCGAGCUGCUGCGGCUGCAGCUGGACUUGGCAGGGGUGAGAUAAUUAGCCCUUUUGAUGCACAAGCGCCUUCCUUUCUUCUACCUUCCUGUUCUUGACAAAGGCACCCGAAAGCCAGCAAUUCCCUUAUGGAAAGGUAGAUUCAGGAGAUCUGGGCAGGACUGCGUGGCAGCGUCAGGCUCCCUUAUUUCCUAGCCCUCAAUCCAAUUCCUAGUGAGGUGGCUGUCCUACCGGACUCAAAGAAUGAAACUGCCACCUGGGCUCUGAAGAGAUGCCAGUUCCAGUAGUUCCUCAAGGGUUCAAAGAACUUCAGUGACUGCCACAGGCAAAGUGGAUUCAAAUGCUAAACGGAACCAAGCAGACCGAAGACUGCAGAAAGGAAGAAACGCCUUACUAUGCUCCAGUGCAGCGGCGGACGGCCCGGUGUUAUUUCUGGAAUCCCCAAGGCCAGGCUGCAAGACACACGAGCGUUUAUGUUCCUGUGGGUUGGGGUGGAGCUGGACACACAGAAAUCCCAACGGAUAAAAUGCCUUCUGUAUAAGCAGUGGAUUUCAAGAUUCCCUAAAUUAGAGCAGCAAACCCAGCCCAUAGAGAGGAGACGCCCAUGGAGGUGAUGAGAGAGGAGACAUAUGAAGGGAAAUUGUCAAAAAGGUUGUUUCUGAGUGAGGCCUACCCAAAAGAGGCACGUGCCAAAUAUUUACCACAAACAAGCUCAUAUGAUCAUGUGAAAUCAAAAACUGACACAUUAUGAAAUUGUAAUAUCUGAGGGACUCCAUAGAAUCUGCUUGUGUCUGAAAAAAAAAUUCUUGGUACUUCAAGUCCCAGAACACAGAAAAGCUG
rnacentral:lncRNA from 1 species